AAGGGACAUUACUAGCUCAGCAAUACAUACAGGGCAUCCUGCAGUCAUAUGUGUUGUCUUCCAUGGCUUCCUGCUUCUAGUAGGGUAAUGCUCGACUACACACAGUAAGGAUUUCUCAGGUUUGUCUCCACCAGAUUUGAACAGUUCCUCUGCCUGCCGGUUACCAGAUUUAUCACCAUUGGAGCAUUUAUGGCAAGCUAGCUGGGAUGUCGGCUAUGACAACCAACUGUUGCAGGAUCUACAGGCCCAACUAACAUCUGUGGAUAAAUGUGCCACAGGAUGACAUACGGAACCUGUAUGCCUCCAUGACCAACCAUACCUCAUCUUAUAUCCAGAGUUGCCAAAAAGUUUCCAGUGAACUGUAUAACAGUGAAGAAAUGAAAAUAUUCUGGACAUAUGGUGAGACUACAAGCAAUUAGAUGAUAAGCAGCGCCACAUCUCAUGGAGUGCUGGCCACAACUAAGGUUCUUCGUGACGUCAGGAGUUAGUGUCAGGUGACGAAGUUCCAGAGCGUCGUGCAGAGCGAGUGUGGCAUCAGUCAUGGCUCCAUGGUAGCCCGUACAGCUAGCAGGGACCCCUUAUGUGGUCUAUAUAUACGGGUCUGCCCCUGUGGAUUCAGCACAGAUCGGCAGCCCGAGGAAGUGCGCUUGGAGCCCAGGAAACAGUCUUUCGCUGUGAGGCCGCUCCUCUGCGUCUACCCGCUGUACACUUUUUAAUUGCAUGUGCAUAAAGAUUCCUGCUCGCAAGUAUUCCAGCUGUCAGACACGUCACCUAACACCUCAGCACCAAUAAGGAGAGCACUGCAAAGAAUUGAGGUAUCAGCAUGUGAUUAUAAAGAAAAGUGAAGCUAAAGAUUUGCAGUGUUUUUCAAUGAGAAGGUAUUUAUUGACUGUAGAGUUUAUUUUAGAAAACUGAAGAAAAAAAAAAAGAGGGAAUUUUUCGAUUUUGCUCCUUUUCUCAUUUCUCCCUCCUCCCUUCUACUCGUCUCCUCUCCCUGCAUUGUCUGCAUUUCCACCAGCCCAAACUUACACUAUA